rnacentral:misc_RNA from 1 species
GUACUGCCGCGGUUCUAAUUGUAACCGAAAAAGUCGCGGAUGUUAUAAUUUCGGGGUGCCGACAAUCGACAAGGGACUCGACGUCCUUUGUUUUCUGCCGCCGAGAAUCGCGUGUACUCUACAUAGGGCCGUGAGGGCCGAUGUCUCGAUGUCACGGUGCCCCGUGGGAGACAAUAAGCAUUUUCUCGAAGAAUCUGACCACGAAGUGAGCAGGCUGACGAACCCUCUGAAGGAACAACACAAUGUAUUAAAAAUCAUAUCGGUCUCCACAAUCCCGUAAUUUAAAUCUCACUAAAAAAAGGAUUGUAUGAAACAAAUGAAAACACAGAAAAGUUUACCUAAAAUGUGAAUCGACAUUUGGAAUUAAUUAAGACUAAAUACGAUAGAAAAAUUAUUAAUACGAUUAACGAAAUUGUCGAUGCCAAAAAGAGGAGAUGUAUGAAGAAAAGGAAAAACGAGGAAUGUCCAUUUUUUGUGUAAUAAUUGGGACUGCGGAACUACUAAAUCAUAAUGAUAAUAAUAUAAUAUGUUAAUUAAAAACAAGGAAUAUCUACUCUGUACUGGAAUAAAACUUGG